GACAACUUGCAUUACAUAGUUAACGAUGUUUCCCUUUUAUUAAUCAGAAACCCACUCUUCCAUUCUUCAACCAUUAUCUUGUUAGCUAAACUCAAUCUCAAAAUGUAAGUGCUUGUCUUUGAUAAAACACAUUAUGUACAUGAAACUUAGCUUGGUGCUCUGGUGGGACAGAAAUGGCAUUCAGGUGGAACUAAUGAGUGCUCCUGAUUAAAGGGAGUCUGCAGGUGCUACUAAUGAUUGUGUAAGAGGAACAGAGGCUAGAGAGUUUCUUUUUUGCUCUUCUUUUUCUCUCCUCUGUGCUUGGAGGGUUUAUUUCUGUCUCUGGAGGAAGGGAAAGGUUUGUUCCUGUGGAGUCAGAAGGGGGCUGUUCUGUGCAAUGGAGCUCUAUUAGUAGUUUUUGCAGUGAAAAUCAAUCUAGGACUUGUUGAGCCCCAGCCUGUGUUGUUAUGAAGGUGUUAGGAAUCCUUUAACGCUUAGACUUCAGAGAAUUGCUUCUAUACCAAGAUCUAAAUCUUUCAUCCUUCUUCAGAUGCUUCACUUAAAUGACUCUAAUCUAGUCUACCUGCAAGAUAACUGACAUAUGCCAACACAGCAGACCUACAGCAUAGGCCCUGAAGGUUGGUGACAGAUGAGUACCAGUGUGUAUGCAUCUCACAUUUACUCUAGCUCUCCGUCCUGUACGCACUGCAGCCUGAGCCUGCAGUUAACAACACAGAAGUGACAUUGCUGACCUCUGUAUACUAAAUUUUGUUUUCCAAUAUUCUUAGUCCUGAAUUUACAAUGUAUC